rnacentral:lncRNA from 1 species
AGCUAGGGUUUCUCUGACCUAAUGUUAUAUAGCCGCUUCCCUCUUCUUCUUAUUCUCCAAUCUGCAUCCCACACAAGCUUCGAUUAUCCACCUCCAUUCUCCCGUUCUUUACUUUUACAACCGGUUUUUAAAUCACAUGCGCAGCCCUUAAGAUCGCCUUCCAGAUUCCAAUGGAAGCGUUUUGAGUCAUAGCUGCGCGAGAUCAAAUCUCCAUUUAUUUGGAAGGUUCCUCCGCAGGGUUUUCCUGCAGAGGGACCUCUUCUUCCCCCGCAUGCUGUUCCUCAAUGGCGAGCCGUUUUUCUCCUGCUUUUUGAUUUGGAUGUCUGUUAGCUCCCUGCUAUUUUGGGUAGCUUCCAGUUUCUGGAAAAAAUUCAAUUUGCAGAGCUUUCAGAUUCCAAUUCUUUGGACCUGUAGAUGCCUCGCUCUCGUGUGGGAAACAUUUCAAAGUCUGAAUAUAGAUUGAAAUUCUCUUGCUUUUUUCGGAUUGAUCUGUUGCUUUGGAUGAACAAUCAAUUAGAUGCGUGAACGGUGGUAAUUUCAUCCGUAUUGAACUCAAACCAUUUGAGGCAUAUAAUUUUGUCUUACUUAGCUGCAUUUUCAAUACUAUGAAUCGUUUGCUUUCUGAAUGCUGAUGGUUGCUUGUCUUGUGUUGAAAUUGGCUUAGGGAUGAUGAAUCAAUUAGAUGCGUGAAUGGAUGAUUAAUGUAUUUUUAAUCGUCUGUGCUGAACUCAAACCAUUUGAGGCAUAUAAUUUGUCUGACUUCUGCCACAUUCCAUUACAUGUUGAGCUAGUUUUCAAAGCUUGUCUCUUUUUAGAAGUUUGGCUGUGAAAUGCAGUAGUCUGUCAUCUUGCUCUGUUUCCGGUUCUGGUUUAGGGGUGUGAGGUCAGUGAUGAUAAAUCUUAAGGCUUGUUUCUCAAAACAUUCGCAGUGGCCGCCUAAAGCUUUCGCCUUUCGCCGGGCUUGAGAGCUAAUGCUGCUCUUAUCCUUCCUUGGAUGUCUGAGAUCUCUAGCAUUUCCAAUAUAUAAUGUUAAACAUCUUCAGUACCAACCAUCUUUACUAAAAUUCUAUUGUAUGUCUGUGAUGAUAACUCCAAAGGCUUGUUUCUCAAAACAUUCGCAGUGGCCGCCUAAAGCUUUCGCCUUUCGCCGGGCUUGAGAGCUAAUGCUGCUCUUAUCCUUCCUUGGAUGUCUGAGACUCUUAGAACAUAAUGAAUUACCUUGAAUCAAGUUUAUCUUGUGCAUCUAAUUGUAUUCUUUGUGCUGUCUUCAAUUAACUGCUUUUCAGGUCACUGAUUUCCUUGGUGGGAUCCAGGGGCGGAAUUGCAGGUGACCACGAACAGAUGGCAAUUGCAGAUGCUUUACCUUGCAACAUCAGCUGCGGCCGUUUUGCUCUUGACUUGAACAAGAUUCUUGGCUUUGAUUGUUGUAGUUUCGUCAUUAUAGAUCUACACAUUGUUGUGUAUGUAAAUUGAAUCAAACUUGCUUCAGCUAUGUAAAAGAAAGGAUUCUGAGAGUUUAUUAUCUGUAAUGCUAAGCCAUGUAGUCAAACCUACUUUCGAAGUCCUUUUGCGUUCUCUGCUAAGUGACUGAUUUAUUCACUAAUUUUAUGCGGAUCAUAAGUAUUAACUUGGUUACCAUCGAAUCGGCGCCAAUAGAUGUCUUCUUUCAUUUGUCAAUCUCCUUCACAGUUCACUCCGCUGCCCGUGUAAGGCCAGGCCUCAAAUUGUUGAAGACAAGGUUGUUUCUCGCUUUCCACAGGUUUCAGCACAUGCUAGUAGCCAUCCUUGCCAUCUCAGUGUGACCAGAGUUCCUAAAGGCAAAGAACCAAUCCAAGAUAGAGCUGUCAACAACGGGGGUAGUAAUGGAGGGAAAAUGAGCCAAGUUAAACGAACAAGAUGGAGGGAAAAUGAGCCAAUCAUGAUAUAAUAAUGAUAUUUUCUUGAAUCAUCCUACCGCCGGUAAAAUGAAUAUGCAAAACCAAGUUUAGAAGAGCUCCCUACUCUCCCAUGCAGGAAAAGAGGUCCUCCUCAAAGCGGUGGUGC